GAUCUGCAAGAGGGGACACCGGAAUCCCGCGGUCGGUUUUGGCUUUCUUCCCUGGUCCCGCCUCUGCGCGCGGGCCCCGCCCCAAAGCGCUAACCCCGCCUUACUCGCUGCUCCAGCUCCUGGUCCUCAGUGACUGCCCAGUGAGGCAGGCAGCUCGCAGCCCCUCUGACUUCGCCUUUCCUAAAAAAACUGCACCUUCACCGAUUCUUCCAAAGGCACUCCCUCCUCCGGCUAGGCCCGUCCAUCCGGCGGCCCCGCCUCUCCCUGGCGGCCCUGCUCCGCCCCAGCCGCUCUCACCUGCCACGGUGAGGUUGAUCACCGAGCGGCGGCGUUGACCGGUGCGCGGGUUCGUGGCAAGGCAAGCGUAGGCGCCGGCGUGGCCAGGUUCCACGGUGGGCAGCAGAAGGCGAGGGCCCGCGGGCACUGCGGCCUCUGCGGGAUCCGCUAGGCUCCACGCGAUGUCGGCAGGCGGCCGCGAGGCGGCGCUGCAGCGCAGGGUCACCGUGCUGCCCUUGGUGACGUACUGCGAAGGGGCGGCGUCGCGAUCCGAGGAGACCGUGAUGACCGGGGUGUCCGGGCCGUCUGCGGGGCGAGGGCCGGGGUCACCGGGGUCUCGUCAGCGGCCCGCCAGCCCUACCCCCCACCCUCCAAGCACGCUCCGCACUCACAGAGGACGCUGACAUCUGCCGUGGCCUCCGCGUGGCCGAAGGGGCUGCGCACGCGGCACGUGUACCGGGCGUGGUCACUGCGCACCGGGCGCACCAGGCGCAGCUCUGGGCCCUCGGCGUGGAUCCGGAGCGGCUCUACUCCCUCGGAGUCCGCAGUCUGCAGGACGUGUCCUUCCCGGCUCCAGCUCAGCUCCCCACUGCCAGGCCUCCACCCUACACAGCGCAGCCGGAGCUCAGCCGCCCCCUCUUCAGUCUCUGGGGUCUGGGGCUGCACCGACAGCUGGGGUAGGGGCUCUGGAGGGGAAAACGGGGUCAGGAGCAGUCAGGAAGCCGGCCCCCAGCCCCCAUCCUCUAUACCAGAGAACUUGGACCCCAGCCGCUGCCUCCUGUUCACCCCCACAAGUCUGGGUUCCAUCAUUGUGCCCCUGAAUCUAUGCGGUCAGAGCCCGCUCCUCACGGCCAGCCCUCCACCCUCAGAUUGGGGUCCAGAUGGGCCUCAGCCUUCUCCCUCGGACCCAGGGGAUCGGGUCCCUCUGUUAGUGUUCAUCCCACUUCCCGCUUUCCUCGUCCUCUUAGUCUGUCCGGGAGCUGCUUCCUGUUGGAAGGAAGCCUCUACAGGACAGGUUAGUGGCUUGCCCAGAGGUUUCCAAGCAACCGGCGCUGUGGUCUACUUACCGUACACGCCCACCAUGAACUCCUGAAUUUGCCUAGAGAUGCCACCCCGGAUGACCUCUACCGUGUAGACCCCAGCAUCAUCCAGCUGGGCAGUGGCAAGUUCCAGACCCCCUCGGGCCUGGUCAAAGUGCAGGCGGUCUCGGUGAGCAGGGUCCAGGCUGAUCAGGGGAGCCCCUGGCCCCAGGCCGCCAGCUGCCAGCACCUUGGAGCCCCGGCGCCAGACCACCAUCGGAACAGGGGGGCCCGGUCUGGGCACUGGAUCCAGGGGCAGCCGGAUGGUGGUCCCCACUAGCACAGCGAGUGGACCCCCCACCUGCUGGGGGAAGCUUGCAGCUGGGUGGGUCUCCAAGGAAACUUUGGAUUCGGAGUUUCGAGAAAAGUCUUCAAGGUCUACAUCUUGAGGGGGAAACUUUGACCCUGGGUCCUCAGCAGAUACUUUGGUGUCCCGGAUUUGGGGAGCAGUGUUCGAAGCUGGGGUUUUAACAGAAGAGGAAGGUUCAGGGCCUUUCGCAGGAACUUGAGAAUCUAAGAACUCAGGAAAUGCUUCAGAACCAGGAAUUUUGGAGAAGGUGGGAUCUGAGCUCAAAUGAUGGUGGUCCGCAGAAGUGUUUGGCCAGGGAGGCCCAGACACAUCCUUCGAAUUCAGGGCCUCAGGAAACCAGUCAGAAUCAGGGAUUUCAGCUGAGGCCAUUGGCCCUGGAAACUGAUGUCUGGAGGGAUUGAUGGUGGGCACUUUGGAAGUCUGGCCCUGGGAGGAGAUGCUGAUGGAGUCUGAGGAGAUGGCAGGGGUGAAAUUGGUUUGCUGAAGUCCAGGAGUGGUAAGGAGCCCUGCUCAGAAGACAAGAGGGGAGGGGAGGGCAAGGUGUUGGCAAGGGUGCUGGAAAGGGGGCUGGUGGGAAGGGGUUGAGCAGGGCACUUACCCAGGAGUAGGAAAAGCUCCAGAGCCCACGAGAUGUCCAUGGUGCUGGCCGCACCCGACAGGACACUGGAGAAAGCCAGGACCUGCACCUAUCCCUCCUGGGCAGGACAAGUCCAACAGGACUGGUAGCUUAGCUUCCUGGGCGGAGAAGGCAGCCAGAUCCAGUGGGGAGGUGCUGGGGUCCCCCUACCCACCUGGUGGCUGAGCCACCUACCCCACCCUUCUCAUCUUCUCAGCUGGCCCUGGCUGUGGGAGGCCCAGCCGAAUCUGUCCUCCCCACCCUCGGGGGAAGAUGGGGAGAGAGGAGUCCCAGCUGGAAAGGUGGUAGCCUGUCUGGAAACAAGCUAGGAAAGUUUCCUAGAGGACCAUGAGACCCACUGUUGGAAAGGUCCUCGACUAAUGGCUUCCUCCUCUCUACCCUUUGUCUCUGGUCCGCCCUGUCUGCCCUGCAGCCUCAGAUGUAUCUGUGUCUGAUCCCGCUCCUCCUCUACUCCAGACCCCCCAUGGCUCCCUACUGUCCCCCGACCCAGUCUCAAGUUGUCUCCCACACAGCCAUCUCUCCUGCCACCCAGAGCUGCGUUUCCACGUCCUCAGACCCUCACAAGCUCUGCAUCCCCCUUCACCCAGCAUCUGCCCUCCGACCCAGAUCCAGCCCUUCUCCUGCUUCUCCGUCUCCAGGGGGCUUAGUCAUGUCUGCAGGUGCUGGGGAGCCUUCCUACCUCCUCCCUGCCCUCCUGCCUUCUGAAUUUCUCUGCCCUCCUCUCAUCUGAGUUCCUACUGCCCAGGCUCCAAAAGUCCCUCUAGUGCACCUGAAGGUCACUCUCCAUCAGGGCUCACCCUGCCCUCCUCAGCGCGCCCUGGAAGUAUCCCAGCUCCUCAGUGAACCCCACUUCUCCUCAUGGGUCCAGCAGCUCCCCUUAGGUGCUGACUCCUGGGCUGUCUCUGGGCUCCCUGCCUUCCUGCUGUGUCCCCUCCUGGCCUGUUCACACAGACACAGACACACACACCCGCUCAGUCAUAACUUGUCCUUCAGGUCUCACCUUAUUAAGAACAAUAACAAUAAUUACAGCUUACGUUGUUCCAGGAACCACGCUAAAUUCCUCCUGUGCUAUUAUGUGGGGCUGAACCCUUUCAAACGCCUUCUGAGCUGGGUGCCUUUACUGACCGGCCACUGUGGCUCAGAGAGGCCAAGGGACCUGCAGGAUGUUGCAGAGCCAGAGGAAGAAGCUGGGUGAGUCCCAGGCUGGUGAGGAAGCUCUUCCCUUUCAGUCUGUCCUCAGUCAUCAGCGUGUUGGCAGCAGGGCCACUGUUCAGCGUGGAAUGCUCUGUAACCCUUAGUACACUGAUAAGGUGGGAGUGAAAUGUAUAACCGUGUGUCAUAGCAGUCGCGUUGCCUUUAGUCCCCUCAGAGUCCUGCCCCUCGCUUGAAUGCACAUAUCCUAUCAUUCUUGUGUAAAUCCUCUUUCCUGAGUGUGAUCAAAACUACAGUGAGGGCCACUGCUGUCAUCCAACGGACAUGCGGGCCCAUAAAACCAUUUUGGGGUGUCCUCGUCUGCCAGAUCUGGCACCAAGUGAUUUCUGGCUCUUGGCCAGAAUCAGAACAAUUAUGAAAGGUAAACUUUUUGAGUAGGUGCUGGGCAUCCAGGCAGCCACAAGGGCGACACUCACUGAAAAGGACUUCCAGGACUGCUUCCAAAGCAGCAGGAAUGAUGGAGUGUGUCUGAGAUGAAGGGGAGCGUCCUGAGGGGGCUUCACGGCGCUCCCUUUUCCUCAGAUAACUAUGUUGAACAUGCAGGUGUUGGACCCUCACCUCAGGUGCUCACCAUCUUCUGUGUAUUAAGUGCUGCAGAAAUUCUCAGAAUCCACCGGGAAGGCUUUGGGGUCUGGUGAAGGCUAGAUACUUCUCAUUAAGAAGGGGUAGAGGGUGUGCAGGCUGAUUCAGCUCAGUGGAGUAAUCACCUCCCUGGCAAGCGCAAGGUUGAGUUCCCUCUGUGGUACCAAAAAAAAAAGUCGAACCUAUGAUCCCCCCUUCAAGUCACCCCCAGCGGUGCUGCUGUGCUGCAUGGAGAAGCCUAUACUUGCUCCUGUUCUAAUUCAUGAGCACACAAAGUUAACCGACCACAUUUUGGGAUGGUUUGUUAUACUGCAAAACACGACUAGGCCGGCAUGUAAUCCUAGCACUCAGGAGGCUGAGACAGGAGGAUGGCCAAGAGUUCAAGGCCAACCUAGGCUACAUAGUGAGCUGAAGAACUGUAGGAACUACAUCAAAACACCCUGUCUCAAAAAAAAAAAAAAAAAAAAAAAUAGACCAGCACAUAACAUAUUACAUUCUUUUCUUUCUUUCUUUCUUUUUGAACUAGGAAUUGAACUCAGAACCUUGGAACUAAGCCACAUCCUCAGCCCUUUUUAUAGUUUCUAUAAAUACUUGCUAAGUCACUAAAUUGCCCAGGUUGGGCUUAAACAUGUGAUCCUCCUGCCUCAGCUUCCCAGAGUGCUGGGAUUACAGAUAUGCAACACCACAAAUCAGAUAUGAUUACUAGUUGAUUGGGAAGAUGAGCUGAGGCUGGCUGGGGGCCUCCCCUAGCUAGCUGGGCACUGGUCCAGGUCAGUAGAUUUGAACCCUGGGCCUCAGGACUGGGACCCAGAGUAACAUGAUGGGGCUGGCAGCUGAGGAACCAAAGCUCAGAGAUGGACCCAGCUCACCUGGGCCUCACAGCUGAAGUUGAGAGAUUUGCAGCCAGUCAACCCGACUGCAGCGCUGGGUUCUGCCUGACAAGAGGUUUUGAAUGUCUGUUACCAGCUCCUCUUGUCGGGGUCCCUCUUGGUCCCAAGUGUCAGCAGGGCUCAGGCUCCAGCACCCACUGGCCAGGCCAAAUGAGCCAUCCACAUACCGGAGUGCCUUCCCUCCCAACCCGUCACCCGGUGCCACACCAGCGUCUGUCCCCUCAGUUCAGUCAGUACUUGACUCACCUGGCUCCCCAGCCUCACCCAGCACCAAACUGGGCAUAAGGGGAUUUAAGGAAAUAUUUGUGGAGUGAAUCAAACACAGAACCUCCAAGGAAUUUGGCAAUACAGAUAUUAAGAGAGUCAGAGUUUUAUUGCUGUGUUUCAGGGAAGGGGCUCAAAUUCGCCCGAUCUCCUUCAGCUUGGCCACCAGGUCUUCGGUGUUCUCCACCUUGACGCCUGCCACACGCUGUGGUGGGUCCUCCACGCUGACCACAGUAAGCUUGGAGCUCAUGUCCACGCCCAGGUCGCCAGCCUUGAUCACCUCGACCUUCUUCUUCUUGGCUUUCUGUGUGUGGGGAACCAGAUUCAUGAGGCUGCUGAAGUCCUGCCCACCCAUCCCCACUUUCCCAGCCCCCUCCCCAACCUCCUUCCCAGGGUGCCACAGUGCAGGACCAUCGCAGAACCAGGACAUGUGCAAACUCUCCUAGCGCGGUGCUUGGUACAGACCUUUCCCGUUGGCUGGGAUAGCCCAGGAGGCUCAGCUAUGCCCAGAGCCCUCUUUAUUUAGCAAACCUCAUCAGGAAGCCCAAAAGACCCAUCCUUUGGCAGUAAUGACUCAAUGGACUCAGGACAUUUCCUAUUGGUUAGCCACCCACUGCCUGCUCAUCAUUGGCUGAGAGGACCCACUGAUCCCUCCCUUUUGAUACACUGAGUGUUUUCUAUUGGCUGAAAUGACCCACUGAACUCAGCGGGUCCGAGAUGACCAAAGAACUCUUCCUACUGGCCAACACACUCCACUGGCCCUUCCUUGUUACUCAAGAUGACCUUCAUCGUAACUUCCUAUUGACAAAAACUACCAAGGGAACCUUCCUUGAAACCAAACCGCUGAAUGCAUCUCUUUCCUUGGCCAUGACUGCCCAGGGAGCCUGCCCACUGGCUGGAUCUGCUGCCCGGUAAAGCCUUCCACCUGCUGAAAUGACCAGCCCAGACUAUUAGCCAAGUAGCUCUAAGGACUCUCAGCCCGUGUACUCUGUUGGCCAGUGACCCGCCUGUUCCCUUUGAUGACUGCUGCCUCAGCCAACCUCCUCCCUCCCCCAGCACCCUUCCCUGCAGCAAGGGCGGCAGCAUGCUCACCAUGAUGUUGGGCAAGGUGGCGUAGCGGGGCUCGUUGAGCCGCAGGUCUGCGGUCACCACGGCUGGCAGCUUCAGGCGAAGGGUCUCCAGGCCCCCGUCAAUCUCCCGCUCCACUUUCAACUUGUCCCCCUCCAGUGUCACCUGGGAGGCGAACGUGCCCUGGGGAGGGACAGCGCAGUAGAAGAGCAGGCGGGGUUAAUGCAGGUCAGGCACAGAGCGGUCCUCGGCAAAGACAAGCGGAUAGAGGCUCGAGGGAAGGACACAGAGGCCUGUAAGAUGCAAAAAUUGGCGGGGAGCCAUGGAAAAGGAUCUCAGCCAUCUGGGGGGUGCCUCCCUUUCCCUGAUCGGGCCCCCUAGAGCCCCUCCUUAAGAAGAGUGUUGAAUGAAUGUGCAUUGAGAGUUGACUCCAGUUCUAGGCAGCCAGGUUCUGCACAAUAAGACCUAACUGGACCUGCCCAAUUGGAAUCAGGAUUAGCUGCUCCUUACCAUGGUGACAGCCAGUGUCUGGCAGAUUACACCUCACUAUUCUCUUCCUGUGGGUUGCUCUGUAAGGGCAGGGAAGGCAUGGAUAGGCUGGUUAGGCUGGUACUGUUUUCUUCCUAAUUAGGUCUUAUUUUAGGAGUAACACAGAAUUCACAUGUACUUGUGUCACAUUGUGUCAACUGGAGCAGUUUAGAAGUUUAACUGAGAGACUCCGGAGGGGCCAGGAUUCUUACUGUGUAAAUAUCCUCAUCCUGUGCAAGAGGAGGGCAAGAAGAUUUUGAGUGCUACACUCUCCUAAAGGAAGCCUUGGGCCUGUGUACAAUAUACACAUUGUACCUUUUUCUCCUUUUUGCUCUGGCUGCUGCCUUGUGCUGAAUCACUGUCAGGCCACUCAGCCUUGGAGCCAGCUGAUUAUGGACUGAAACCUCCACAAACAAUGAGCUAAAUAAACCUUUCCUUCCUUCA